AACCCACUCCAGUGUUCUUGCCUGAGAAUCCCACGGACCGAGGAGCCUGGCGGGCUACAGUCCAUGGAGUCGCAAAGAGUCGGACACGACUGAGCAACUAACACUUUCACUUUCUGCCCCAAUACCCCACACGUCUGAACCUGAAUACCUGAGUGGGUCCCACUGGCAGGAAGAGAGGCUCCUAGAGGCCCAGUCCUCCCCAAGGCUCCUCAGCUUUGGGGCCUGGAUUGACUGUUCCAGGACUCUGAUGGGCGGCUGGGGUGGACGACGGGUAGAGGCUGCCUCCCCAGUGACUGGGACAGGCCUAGCCUUGUCUCCACAGGUGUCCACGGACAGGACUUUGCAAUCCAGAGGAUGGGUGUUGUGGUGCAGGCUGCUGACCACUGUGUCCAGGGUCUUCUCUUACGGGCCCAAGGCGCCUGCAACCUGGAGUCAGCCCAAGGCUCUUUCUAAAUCCCCAAACCCUUCCAGCCCUUCAUUCCGCCAGCCUGCAGAUUCCUCGUCCCAAUACAGAUGUUGCUUCCACCAGGGGGAGAUUCCUCAUUGAGCUUUCUUUCAACAACGCCUUACGCACAUAUUUGUCCCCCAAAGACCCCACCUACCUUGACCUUUUCCCUCGUGCCUCUUCGCUGUGACCCUGGCAGCACCUCAAUCAGGAUCCAGAGGUGCCAGGGCUGUAGGCCCCGCCCUCCCCGGAGGCCCCGCCCUGUAUCAACCAUGGGCUGCGUCUUCCUCAAACAGGCCCCGCCCCGCCUUGGUACAGAGGCCCUUCCUGAUUGGUGCCUUCACAGUCCGUGCCUUCCCAUUGGCUUGAGGCCCUGAUCUCUCAACUCCAGCGGUGGAACCCUUGGUUCCCUCACGUCCCGGGUCAGAUCGGUUCUCUUUGAUGACCCUCGGCCCACCCUGGUCUCCUCACUCCAGCUGCUUCAUGUUAGCCGAAGGCAAAGGAGCCUGGACGCGGACACAGGGAGCCGCCCCCAACACGUACCUUCACUCGUCAGUGGCUACUGUGCUCAGCCUCUCCAGGCCAACAGGCAGCCUGAGCCGUCAAUCUUCUCCUCUGCCAAUCAGCGCGCCAGCCAGGCCGGCCCUCUAGUCACGGCUCGGUACUGAAGGAUGGCAAGUCCCGAAGGCUCCCAGGGACGCGUGCGCGCGGGUUAGGGGGCUUCCCACCAGCUGCCUGGGAGAGGGAUAGGGAGGGAAAGGCAGAGCUCCCGGGACUCAGCCCUGUUGCGCUUUCCUGAGAGGACUCUCUCCUCCUUCCAUCCUCCCUUGGGAGCUAUACUGAGUCCUAGCACUGAGUGGCCCAACUCUGCCUAUGAAUAGACGAAGGUGCUUGGACACUGGCUAAGGGGAUACUCCUGAUCCACCGAGGUCGGGCCUGUGAGGAGGCAAGAGGGGUUCUCCAGCCUGAUGAGGUCGCGCGAGCCCUUCCACACUCUACUCCAAGACACGGGCCAGGUAGCUCCAGCCUGCCAGGCCUAAACUCCCGGUGAACCCUCGCAUCUGGAGAUCCAGGAUGCUCACACUCCAUGCUCUUUGCCAAAUGUUUGUGAAACCAAGUAAGAUCGGCCUUGCCCGCGCA